CAUAAGUGCAAUCAUAAGUUUCCAUGUCCAACUUUUGAUCGUCCGUCUUAUUUAAGUAUUUUUGUUGUUAUGGGAUGAUAAAAUAUGAAUAAUAUUUACUUGUGACUUAUGUUUUUAAAUUUUUUCAAAAAUUUUUCAAAUAAAACACACGGUCAAAGUUGGGUGCGGAAAACCGUGGCUGCACUUAAA
rfam:Oryza barthii chromosome 3, whole genome shotgun sequence.